UACGGAGGGUGCAAGCGUUAUCCGGAUUCACUGGGUUUAAAGGGAGCGUAGGUGGGGUGGUAAGUCAGUGGUGAAAUCUCCGGGCUUAACUCGGAAACUGCCGUUGAUACUGUCAUUCUUGAAUAUUGUGGAGGUAAGCGGAAUAUGUCAUGUAGCGGUGAAAUGCUUAGAUAUGACAUAGAACACCGAUAGCGAAGGCAGCUUGCUACACAAUUAUUGACACUGAGGCUCGAAAGCGUGGGGAUCAAACAGG
rnacentral:rRNA from 1 species